GACGUAGGUGGCAAGCGUUAUCCGGAAUUACUGGGCGUAAAGCGCACGCAGGUGGUUGGGUAAGAUUGACGUGAAAACUCUUGGCUUAACUGAGAGACGUCGUUGAUGACUGCUCGACUUGAGGUGAGGAGAGGGGUGCAGAAUUCCCGGUGUAGUGGUGGAAUGCGUAGAGAUCGGGAGGAAUACCAGUGGCGAAAGCGGCACCCUGGCCUUGGCCUGACGCUCAGGUGCGAAAGCGUGGGGAGCGAACGGG
rnacentral:rRNA from 1 species